AAAAGCAGGUUUUAUUUUUGUGGAAUAUUUGACUGAUAAGUGUCGUACAGCCAUUAGUUCUUCUAUGCGGCAAUUGGCAGCGGCAUUAAAGAUCAGUUGGCAGUGCUCUUUGAGUGUAGCCACACCAGCUGCUAUGUAUAAAUAUGCUGGUCCACGCAUAACUGUGCUUUCUCUGCGCUAAAACAAAAACAAAACAAAUUUCGCCUAGAAAAGUGUAUUUUUAGAGUAUUGACGUAUCGGCUAUCAGGAGGAUGCAUGUAAGAAAGUGCUCCCCAGCGUGGGGGGACUAUGCUAUUUUACGAGCUGUAUUUCACAUUUUCACAGGUCACCGCCACACACACAAUCACAAAUAGACACGCACACGCAUACGAAUACGCACAUAAACACAUUUGUCCGAGGGAGCGCGACAAUUGCCUGAACGGCGCGGCCGGCCUUGUGGGACAUUUUGCAUGGAGCAGAGGAUGCGAUGCGAUGGUCCGGCAUUGGAGGAGGAAACCUAAUGAGCGCGUACCGCCCACGCAAUGAAACGGGCCAGAGACACACACACACACACACAUACUAGGCAAUUUUGGGCUGCUGUCCCGGAUCUCGGGAGCCCUCAUAUCUGUGGUUUUCAUGGAAUCAACUGACCAGAAUGGUGUACUCUGGCCUUCUCUGCCAAGUUCGACCUGCAUUUGCCUGGUGAUUAAUUCGACAUCAACCUGAGACAAGAUUAUCCUUAACAGAUUCCGAUAUGAACCAUCAGGCAUAUCUGUCAGAAGAUGCUGCGCGAGAGAGGAGGGAUGCUGCUACAGGAUGGACUCUGAUGUGCAGAUGGAUACAGGAUAGCAGAGAGAGAGCAGACACACGGAUGCACUGAGACAAAAAAACUUGAAGGUGGCAUUCAUUUCGAUUCGAAAAUGGUAAAAGCUCUGCGAUCAACGUCGUCAGCGCCUAAUUGGAAUUCUUCACUCAAUCUUAGUUGUUUUUAUAUAAUUUUUCCUUUCAGGACUCCCUCCUCGCACGAGUAUUUUCGGGCAGUGUAUGCCUGGUUCCCCCUCGCGGCGUGGUGGCCCCGCAUGUUACGCAUUUCCUCUUGGGAUUCCAGGGCAUUGGGCGCUGUUCUUUUGAUAUUGUAAUGUGCAUAAUAGGAUUUUUAUGACACCUUUACUGUGGGGGCGGGCGGGCAUCAGGCAUCGCCAAUGGCACCAAUGGCACCAAUGGCUGCUGCCUCGCCUAAUCGCCAGAAGGACUGGCAGACUGGCCCCCUGUUUCCGCUGCUGAUGCUCUCCUUCUUGUCACCAAAAAGUUGCAAAUUUUAUUGGCCGGAUGUGCGGAUGUGCGGCAGCGGCAUGUGGAUUGUGGAUUUGCAUCAGAUCAUGAAUUUCACACGAUGGUAAUGGCCACAUUAGCAUUGACUACACGCAUUUAUGGCCCAGACCACCCCCCAACCUCCAACCCCCCUCCAUACUCCGGCCCAGGGGUAAGGUAAGUGCAUGUGCUAAAUUUUUAAUAUGCAAAUUUCGUUUCAGGGCUGCCGCCUGUGCGCUCACCUUUCGCAUUUCAUUUACACUUGUGCUGCAUAUUUUAUUGUGUUGUAUGUACACGGCAUUAUUGCACACAAAUGGCCAGUUACAUAUUAAGCCGAACAAUAACCGCCGACUGUGUUGUCAGGACUCUGGGGGAAACCCGGAUGUGGAUGUGGAUGCGAAUGUGGAUAUGGGUCCUCCAGAUGGCUGGCAAAAUGCCAUUUGAUUCGAGCGACACUUGGGGCUGUCUCUGUCUCCUGUUCCUGCCUCGUUGCGCAUCGUUUGGGAGCCCCCCCUCUUUAAUGGCUGCACGGAAUUAAUUUUCCAAAACUUUUUGUAAAGGUGUCGCCUCCAUGCAAUUCCAAGGAGAUCGAUAAGUCCAGGGAGAGCUAAAUUGUGGAUUUACAUUGAGAGGCCACAGUAAAUCAUCGUUCUGCGAGUACGAGUAGUAUGUGCCUGGAAUGAGCCGUCGAAAAUCAAUAGCGUGAGACACUCCAGACAAAGCCAACAGGAGGCAACCCUUUCAAUCAGCAGCAUCAGAUGUACGACGAGUAUUCUCCACGCGUCGAUGGCCAUCAGCAGCCCCGAGGACACGGACACGGACAUGGACACGGACACAAUGCGAUGCUAUCGCAGAUCAAGUUGCUUUAACCUCCCCAUCAAUUAAAAAAUCGGCAAAACAAUUCAAAACUGGAAGUAACCAAACCCUCAACCCGUGUCAACGUUCCCACUGGCACUACGGAUUAUGCAGCUAGAGA